UACAGAGGUCUCGAGCGUUGUUCGGAUUCAUUGGGCGUAAAGGGUGCGUAGGCGGCGCGGUAAGUCGGGUGUGAAAUCUUGGAGCUUAACUCCGAAACUGCAUUCGAUACUGCCGUGCUUUGAGGACUGGAGAGGAGACUGGAAUUUACGGUGUAGCGGUGAAAUGCGUAGAUAUCGUAAGGAAGACCAGUGGCGAAAGG
rnacentral:rRNA from 1 species